rnacentral:rRNA from 1 species
UACGUAGGGAGCAAGCGUUGUCCGGAAUCAUUGGGCGUAAAGCGCGCGUAGGUGGCCCCAUAAGUCCGCUGUGAAAGUCAAAGGCUCAACCUUUGAAAGCCGGUAGAUACUGCGGGACUAGAGUACGGAAGAGGCGAGUGGAAUUCCUGGUGUAGCGGUGGAAUGCGCAGAUAUCAGGAGGAACACCAAUAGCGAAGGCAGCUCGCUGGGACGUUACUGACACUGAGGCGCGAAAGCGUGGGGAGCGAACAGG